rnacentral:rRNA from 1 species
AGUGAACGCUGGCGGUAGGCCUAACACAUGCAAGUCGAACGGCAGCACAGUAAGAGCUUGCUCUUACGGGUGGCGAGUGGCGGACGGGUGAGGAAUACAUCGGAAUCUACUUUUUCGUGGGGGAUAACGUAGGGAAACUUACGCUAAUACCGCAUACGACCUACGGGUGAAAGCAGGGGAUCUUCGGACCUUGCGCGAUUGAAUGAGCCGAUGUCGGAUUAGCUAGUUGGCGGGGUAAAGGCCCACCAAGGCGACGAUCCGUAGCUGGUCUGAGAGGAUGAUCAGCCACACUCGAACUGAGACACGGUCCAGACUCCUACGGGAGGCCGCAGUGGGGAAUAUUGGACAAAGGGCGCAAGCCUGAUCCAGCCAUACCGCGUGGGUGAAGAAGGCCUUCGGGUUGUAAAGCCCUUUUGUUGGGAAAGAAAAGCAGCAGGUUAAUACCCCGCUGUUCUGACGGUACCCAAAGAAUAAGCACCGGCUAACUUCGUG